rnacentral:lncRNA from 10 species
UGAGAACAUCAUCCAGAUCACACAGCCAGCAUGUGGUGGAGGCAGGGUUCAAACGCAGGUCCUCCUAAUCUAAAGCCCACCAGCCUUACAGUCUGUGGUGGGCCUGUAUCCCUCAGGAAACAGCCAGGGCAGUCUAAACUGCUAAGAUGCUUCCAGCGCAGGCCCAGGCACCAAUAUCCUGAGGAAGGAUGUCAAGAAUCUAGAACACCCAGGCCAGACUCACUGGCUCUCGCCUAUAAUCCCAGCACUUUAGGAAGCUAAAGUGGGAGGUGGGAGGAUCCUUUGAGGCCAGGAGCUUGAGACCAGCCUGGGCAACAUAGUGAGAUCCCAUCUCUAAAAAAAAAAAAAAAAAAAUUAGCCGGGUGUGGUGGUGUGUGUCUGUAGUCCCAGCUACUGGAGAGGCUGAGGCAGGAGGAUCACUUGAGCUCUGGAGUUUGAGGCUGCAGUGUGCUAUGAUGGCACCACUGCACUCCAGCCUGGGUGAAAGAAUGAGACUCUGUCUCAAAAAAAAAAAAAUAAAUAAAAAAAAUGAAUCUUGGGCACUUGUAGUUCAAGAAGCUCCCGUUCCCAGGCACCCCAGCACCCUCAUUUGCAAACCAGAUUCAUGGCUGAGUGUAGCAACACUGCCAAGAGGGCACUGCAUACACUCUGCUUAAAAGUCAAGCACUUUUGAAAACAUCUGCUUGAAAUUGUGAGCCACUGAUUGAAAUGAAAUGAAAAAAAAAUAAAAAAACUUAGCUGCCAAGCAACCAUGGAAAGAGGAAGAGGAAAAAAGAACCAGCGACAAACAGCUAGUAAACACAUCGCCACAGAUGGUCACACAAUAAGACCCCAACCCAAAAACAUAACCUAACAUGUAAAGAUGACAGAGGUUUUUGCCAAAAGUUAUUUUACGCUUCAGUAAGGGGAACAGAAAACUGUUCUUUUUCUGUUGAAUGGCACAAAUCUACAGGGCUCAUUUUCUUUAGUGGG